rnacentral:misc_RNA from 1 species
AUGGGUGCCCCGACGUUGCCCCCUGCCUGGCAGCCCUUUCUCAAGGACCACCGCAUCUCUACAUUCAAGAACUGGCCCUUCUUGGAGGGCUGCGCCUGCACCCCGGAGCGGGAGAGAGCUCUGUUAGCAGAAUGAAAAAAUUGGAAGCCAGAUUCAGGGAGGGACUGGAAGCAAAAGAAUUUCUGUUCGAGGAAGAGCCUGAUGUUUGCCAGGGUCUGUUUAACUGGACAUGAAGAGGAAGGCUCUGGACUUUCCUCCAGGAGUUUCAGGAGAAAGGCAAAGGAAACCAACAAUAAGAAGAAAGAAUUUGAGGAAACUGCGGAGAAAGUGCGCCGUGCCAUCGAGCAGCUGGCUGCCAUGGAUUGAGGCCUCUGGCCGGAGCUGCCUGGUCCCAGAGUGGCUGCACCACUUCCAGGGUUUAUUCCCUGGUGCCACCAGCCUUCCUGUGGGCCCCUUAGCAAUGUCUUAGGAAAGGAGAUCAACAUUUUCAAAUUAGAUGUUUCAACUGUGCUCUUGUUUUGUCUUGAAAGUGGCACCAGAGGUGCUUCUGCCUGUGCAGCGGGUGCUGCUGGUAACAGUGGC